AGUGAACGCUGGCGGUCGGCCUAACACAUGCAAGUCGAACGGAAGCACAGUAAGAGUUUGCUUUUACGGGUGGCGAGUGGCGGGCGGGUGAGGAAUACAUCGGAAUCUACUUUUUCGUGGGGGAUAACGUAGGGAAACUUACGCUAAUACCGCAUACGACCUACGGGUGAAAGCAGGGGAUCUUCGGACCUUGCGCGAUUGAAUGAGCCGAUGUCGGAUUAGCUAGUUGGCGGGGUAAAGGCACACCAGGGCGACGAUCCGUAGCUGGUCUGAGAGGAUGAUCAGCCACACUGGAACUGCGCCACCGUCCAGACUCCUACGGGAGGCACCAGUGUGGAAUAUGUGACAAUGGGCGCAAGCCUGACCCAGCCAUACCGCGUGUGUGAAGAAGGCGUUCGGGUUGUAAAGCCCUUUUGUUGGGAGAGAAAAGCAGCAGGUUAAUACCCCGCGGUUCUGACGGUACCCAAAGAAUAAGCCCCGGCUAACUACGUG
rnacentral:rRNA from 1 species